AUACCCCAGCUCCCAUCCAGGACCCUCCAGAGAAAGUGCUGAAGGACAGAGCUCGAAUCCACAUUGGGGAGCUGACACGAUGGGGAACCCACACUGGACGGAAACCACCAAAGGGCCUUUUGAACCAGUUUUUAUUUUUUUCCUCCCUACCUUGAAGCAAGAACGUGUUAAAUAACCCCACCUGGGGGACAGGGGUGCCCACUUCCAGCCUCCAGAUGGAAAGCGCCGUGGUGCUCUCAUCCCAAGCACUUGUCUCUGUGUCCCCAUUUCCCUGGCCAUAAAGGACUGAUGGAUGCUCCAACCCAACAGAGCUUUAUGAACAGGGACUGAAAGGGCCAAGAGCUGUAAAUACGCUCGGUAACUGCAAGCCGUGGGGCUGCCUGCAUGGUCCCAAAUAACUCCAGUGGGGUCACCCAGAAACCCCUGAGCCACUUGUGCAUGGCUCAGCCCCCCUGAGGGCACCCUCUGCCCAAAAUCCCUGCCUCGUGCUUUGUGCAUCAGCUCUUGUGAGCUGCUGAGCACAACCCCCACGGAGCUGCUCCAUCGCGGGAGGCCAGCAGCACGUGCUCCAGCCUGAGCCCUGGCGACUCGCCGCCCUGCCCGGCUGCCCUGGCCACGCUGACGUACAUUAUACUUCUUUUUUCCAGGAAAAAAGGAUUCCCUAUUGAUGCCGCAGGCCUCUUCCCACAAGGUCCCUGCCAAGACAAGCAGUUGUUUGAGCAAUAGGAGGGAAACCAGCCCCGCUGCGAUCGCCGUGCUGUGCCUUUGCCCCAGACUGCUGCGCCCGGAGCCCUCUGCCUGCGGCGGUGCCAUCUGGAGCCAGCGAAAUCAUCCCUGGGGAGCAGUCGGGGGACACGGAGGGGUCCUCUCUGCCACAUGCGCCCUUGGUGUCCCCAGGCAGCCUCAGGACCUGGCUCCCCAGCACCCAGCUCGGCGGGGUAGGGCACAGCCCUCACUGUGGGGUGGAGGAAACCACAAGAAAUCCUCUCUUCAUCCAGCACAGCCACCGGGGACGAUGCCUCGGUGCUACAGCUCUGCUCCAGCCUUACCGCCCCAGAUUUCCAGCCCUCACAACACUGAUAAAAGACCUUCAGCAAAGCAGAGGAUAUCAUAA
rnacentral:lncRNA from 1 species